AGGACUAACGCUGGCGGUGUGCUUCAUACAUGCAAGUCGAACGGGCCCUUCGGGGCUAGUGGCGGACGGGUGAGUAACGCGUAGGUAAUCUGCCCUUGGCUGGGGGAUAACACCGGGAAACCGGUGCUAAUACCGCAUAAGUAAUCGGUUGAAAUACUGAUUAUUAAAGUUCCGGCGGCCAAGGAUGAGCCUGCGUUGGAUUAGCUUGUUGGUGGGGUAAUGGCCUACCAAGGCGAUGAUCCAUAGCUGGUCUGAGAGGAUGAUCAGCCACAAUGGGACUGAGACACGGCCCAUACUCCUACGGGAGGCAGCAGUAGGGAAUUUUGCGCAAUGGGCGAAAGCCUGACGCAGCAACACCGCGUGGAGGACGACAUUUCUCGGAAUGUAAACUCCUGUCGGCAGGGAAGACCAAACGACGGUACCUGCAAAGGAAGCAUCGGCUAACUACGUGCCAGCAGCCGC
rnacentral:rRNA from 1 species